rnacentral:rRNA from 1 species
AUGUCAUAUGUGUACCAUAUGGACAAACCACUCUACAUUCUAAAGGACGGGCAGAACGUGCAUCCCCUGGAUUUGUGUCCCAGAUCAUGGAGGAAUUACUCUCUCUGCUGGUGCGUUUACAGUGCAUUAUUUGUAGUUCUAUUGGGAAGACAGUUAGAGACCCCGAGAGGCUGCUGCGAGCUGCUAUUCCCCUCCUUGAGCUGGCGGACUGAUGAUGGAGGACCCGCCCUCUUCGCUGCACCGGCGCCGCCGCUGCUACUUCUGCUUCUGUUGCCCGUUGGCCCAGGGCGGCACAUGUCCUCUGCUUCUAAGGCUUCUUCUGCUGAUGGUCUUCAAGGUGCUGCUGCUGCUCCCAAGCUGUGGCUGGCUUCGCUGCUGCAGCACCAUGCCAUCUUCAGCGACUCACCAACGACGGCAGCUCCUCCGCUUCAGGGCUACUGCGGCAUGCGUGUCUCCCUCCUCCAGGGAGGCUGUGCGGCACCGAGCGGGUGUACGGCGAGGUCUUCGUAA